rnacentral:lncRNA from 1 species
GAUGAAGGAGUUGGACAGUUUCUCACUCUUUUGUCCAGCAUGAAGAAUGGCUCUGAUUACAACUUUUCGGAAUUGAGAUUAGGUGUUCAUGCUGGCACUCAUGUUGAUGCACCAGGACAUAUGUAUGCUGAAUAUUAUGAUGCAGGAUUUGAUGUUGAUUCCCUUGAUCUAAGAGUUCUCAACGGUAUUAACCUAGGAACUUCCAGCCAUGUAUGCUGAAUAUUAUGAUGCAGGGUUUGAUGUUGAUUCUCUUGACCUUAGAGUUCUCAACGGUAUUAACCCAGGAAAUUCUACCUUUAGCCAGCAUUAAGAACUGCUAGUUAUAUGAUUACUCUUGCACAUAAGAAAGAUGAUCAAUCUUGUUCCUAAUUUUAAUAACUGAUGGCUCUGAUUAACUCAAAACAUGGUAGUGACCGUGAAUUUUACUUGCUCUUUCGAAUUGAUAUGCUAAUGGAGUCUGGAGAUUUAGGUCUUAAAAAAUCAAACCACUGAAAACAGUUGAGACCUGGUCUAAGAAUUAGAUAUUUUGCGAAUCAAUUCUUUUGAAAUCUAUUUUCAGUCUAAGCUACUAGUAUGUUUUAUCCUCGCUCAAUAAAGAUUUUAUGACUGUGAUUCUAGAGUCUAAGAUAUUGAUAUCCUCCCAGAUGCCCAAGAGCGGAUAUAUGCCCAUUUUGUUACUUAUCAAAUUUAAAAAGAAAAAGCUAGUAAACAGUUUAACCUCACAGGAAGUCCUGAAAUGUAACAAGUCAUUACUGAAAAAGGGGAA